rnacentral:lncRNA from 1 species
UUGUUUGCAAAUUUUUCCUUUUGCCUAUGUCUAAGUAGGGAGCAUUAUUGAAUAAAUUUGGUUGUGGAAUCUAAACUUGGGGAGAGUAAAGUAAAAAGAGUUGAUUAGAAACUUGGAAAAGUGAUGUUUUAUAAAAGGGUGAAAGUAUGAAAAAAAACAAGAAAAAGAAAUCACCCUUGAAACUAUAGAGCAAAGAAAAAGAAAAGAAAGAAAAAAAACAAAGAAAAAGCU